rnacentral:rRNA from 1 species
UGAACGCUGGCGGCGUGCCUAACACAUGCAAGUCGAACGAGAUGCGUCUUGGAAAGCUUCGGCCGGAAGAUGCGUUAUCUAGUGGCGGACGGGUGAGUAACACGUGGGUAACCUGCCUUAUGGAGGGGGAUAACAGAGAGAAAUCACUGCUAAUACCGCAUAAGCACACAUUGCCGCAUGGCAGAGUGUGAAAAGAUUUAUCGCCAUAAGAUGGACCCGCGUCUGAUUAGCCAGUUGGCAGGGUAAAAGCCUACCAAAGCAACGAUCAGUAGCCGAUCUGAGAGGAUGACCGGCCACAUUGGGACUGAGACACGGCCCAAACUCCUACGGGAGGCAGCAGUGGGGAAUAUUGCACAAUGGGGGAAACCCUGAUGCAGCGACGCCGCGUGAGUGAAGAAGUAUUUCGGUAUGUAAAGCUCUAUCAGCAGGGAAGAUAAUGACAGUACCUGACUAAGAAGCCCCGGCUAACUACGUG